rnacentral:lncRNA from 1 species
UCUUUCUUCUGUCUUCUUUGAAGUGGAUAAUUUGUUCGUUGAUGUACAUUCUUAUUUGAAGAGACAGCUCUGAUUGUUCUAUUCAGAAGGAAGUACAUAGUUUCACGGUUUGAUAAUUUUGUUUACCUUUUGUCUAUUUGUUGAUUCUGUUUGGCUACUUUGGUUUGUUUUUUAUUUAUUUUCCAUGAAUAGGGAACUUUGGGGUCUUGCAAGUCACUGGAAGAUGUUAAUUACUUGACC